UUCAUGAUGGUCUAGUGGCUAAAACUCUGUGCUCCCAACGCAGGGGACUUGGGUUUGAUUCCUGGUCAGGGAA
rnacentral:tRNA from 1 species